rnacentral:lncRNA from 1 species
CUGGUCGGUUUCCAUAUAUGGUCAUGUAUUUUAUUUUGAUUUUUCAACGGAAAUAAGGUUUUUACCAAAUUUGGUCAUGAUUUCCAUAUAUGGUCAUAGGUUGUUUUGUCGAUUUCCAUAUAUGGUCAUGUAUGUUUAUUUUGAGUGAAAAUAAGGUUCUUACCAAAUUUGGUCAUAAUUUCCAUAUAUGGUCAUAGGGUAUUGUGGUCGCUUUCCAUAUAUGGAAUUCAUCAUAUGGUGGUCCAAGAGUCAUAAUCCGACAUCUGGUGCUUCCGUUUUGAUAUAUAGCCCUUCAUACUAGAAUUGGCAAAGAUCUACGUGAGUCAUACGAUUCAUAUGACGUCAGCGCCUUAGCGCCUUGGUUUUUUGUGGUUGCAUAAAACAUCAUAACGAACAGAAAAAAUACUUCUCGAAUUUUCAUACGUACAUCAUGGUAUUGUCAUGUAGUGAGUCAUGUCCUGAUCUUGCAUCCUGAUGAUUCAUGGUUGCGUCAUGACCAAAUAUGACCGGCGUCCAUCCGUCGUGAUUCAUCUUCCUUACUUCCGCUGACGUCAACUAACCAUAUUUGGUCAACCGGAGGGGACGUUUCGAUAAAGGGGCGGGGCUUGGCCAUAUUUGGCUGCGCCCUCGCGCCCUGCGUUUUUGGGGUGCCUAAAACUCCACACACCCUACUACUCAUACUAGUAUACGUGAUAUA